AAAACCAGAAUGCCGAGUUUCCGGGCGGACCGGAAAGCGGGGGAACCAGUUUUUACGGGUGAAUUGAUCUUGUAACACAGGGAUCAUAGGGGUCCUUCAACCGAACCCUCCAGCUAACCUCGCAGGCACGGAAGGAGCUUUC
rnacentral:sRNA from 1 species